rnacentral:rRNA from 1 species
AUUGAACGCUGGCGGCAGGCCUAACACAUGCAAGUCGAACGAGUGGCGGACGGGUGAGUAAUGUCUGGGCAACUGCCCGAUGGAGGGGGAUAACUACUGGAAACGGUAGCUAAUACCGCAUACCAUCGGAUGUUCCCAGAUGGGAUUAGCUAGUAGGUGGGGUAACGGCUCACCUAGUCGACGGUCCCUAGCUGGUUUUAGAGGAUGACCAGCCACACUGGAACGGAGACACGGUCCAGACUCCUACGGGAGGCAGCAGUGGGGAAUAUUGCACAAUGGGCGCAAGCCUGAUGCAGCCAUGCCGCGUGUAUGAAGAAGGCCUUCGGGUUGUAAAGUACUUUCAGCGAGGAGGCGUUACUCGCAGAAGAAGCCCCGGCUAACUCCGUGCCAGCAGCCGCGGUAAUAC